GACGAACGCUGGCGGCGUGCUUAACACAUGCAAGUCGAACGAAGAGCGAUGGAAGCUUGCUUCUAUCAAUCUUAGUGGCGAACGGGUGAGUAACGCGUAAUCAACCUGCCCUUCAGAGGGGGACAACAGUUGGAAACGACUGCUAAUACCGCAUACGAUCUGACCUCGGCAUCGAGGAUAGAUGAAAGGUGGCCUCUACAUGUAAGCUAUCACUGAAGGAGGGGAUUGCGUCUGAUUAGCUAGUUGGAGGGGUAACGGCCCACCAAGGCGAUGAUCAGUAGCCGGUCUGAGAGGAUGAACGGCCACAUUGGGACUGAGACACGGCCCAGACUCCUACGGGAGGCAGCAGUGGGGAAUCUUCCGCAAUGGACGAAAGUCUGGCGGAGCAACGCCGCGGGAGUGAUGACGGCCUUCGGGUUGUAAAGCUCUGUUAAUCGGGACGAAAGGCCUUUUUGCGAAUAGUGAGAAGGAUCGACGGUACCGGAAUAGAAAGCCACGGCUAACUACGUG
rnacentral:rRNA from 1 species